GUCCAUUUCCACAGUGAGUCUCUGGAGCCCCACCUUUGUUGGCGUGAACUGGAAUUGGGUACGCAGAGUUUUUCUGGGCUGCACCAAACCUAAUCUGAAAUACAGGAAAAGGGGAUGCGGACCCCUUUUGGACCACCCACUGCUCCUGUUUCCUCUCCAAGGAGCAACAUCAGCUUGUGCAGUUCUCUGCAGCUCAGGGUGGCCCUGGGCCUACCCCCAGGCUUUGCCUCUACCUCCAUCACGAGCAGUUGGGUUCAGAAUCUGCCAUCUGCUAUAACCAGGCAAAUCAGGCCGGCUCAUCCAGCACUCUGUGUACAUCUGGAAGAUCCUGAAGGAAGAUAACUCUGGAAGCUGUGGAGGACGGUCUGAUGUGGCCCUGAGGAGAGAGGCAUCACACACUGAAAUAGCCUUAAGAAAUGGCCUCAUGACCACAGGCUUUGGGACCUGCCAACUCCAUCUGGCCUGAACACUGAAGGUUAUGGGGAGGCCCAGGUAGGGCUAUGCCUGACAGGCCAGAGUGGGGCAUGGAACAGGGGAAGAUCUGCCAGCUGGAGAAGCCCAGAAGAAAAUUCUAAGCCCGUUGCUUCAAUGGCUUC